CAGCGACCGCUGCAGCCUAUCAGGAACCAACAGGACCCUCUCAUGCCCCGCCCUCAAGCCUCAGACAUGGAGCCAUUGUCUCAGAAGCAACAGGAUGGCACGUCCCCCAGGACAGGGGAGCAUGGUUACUCCUCCCACUUGGCUGGUGGCCCAUCAUACUCAGCUGCCCUCCCCUCACAGAAUCCAACCAAUCACAACGACAUCCUGAUGCCAAAAGAGCCACAGGCUAUGAUGGGUGCUCAGUCCAUGGUGGGCCCUCCUGACACCGCCCCACCCACUGCCCCUCCACCCUCUGCCCUCAUGGCCAAGGGCUACCAUGUUCCAGUGUUGGCCCAACCCAAGCUCCAGCCCCAGCCUCUUAGUCACUCCCUGCAGAGGACAGGUCCCCCUCCUGGUCCUCCGCCCCCCAGAAUGUCUGACAGCCACCUCCACUGGGAUAGUCAUGGCAGGAACCACAACUGUCCCCCUCCUUCCCAGCCCCCUCCC
ensembl:lncRNA